UGGAGACACACAAUUUUCUGCAUAUCUUUUUCUCAGAACUCCCAGCAGCAGUAGCUGGAAGAGAACAAUUCAGUCAUGCAAAAUAAUAUUUAACUCAUUAAAGCGAUACAGGAGAAGGAAGAUUCUGGCAAAUAUCUGAACUGGCCAUUGUCCUAUCUCUUGCACAAGAUGUUUAUGCUGGCCUCAGCUCUGAGAUUGCUGAAUCCCAUAUAUGUGCCAGGUGCCACACGGUGGUGCUCCUGACUCCCCAUCACUCAGAGGCCUGAGAGGAGUUACAGUGUUUGUAUCAAAACUGGUUUAGGAGAGAAGGCUAGCACUCAGCUCUGCA